rnacentral:lncRNA from 1 species
AUGCCUAUUGUUUGUCCGUACCUUUACCUGCUCCCUCUACAGCAGAUCUACACAAUGCAGCCCCACNAGGUUCAUCCCCCCGCCCAGUACCCCCCACCUUCAGUGUCUCCUCCAUACAACCACCAGACUGUUGUUAGUGAGCCCCCUUGUCCAGCUGAACCCCCCCAUCCCUCUGAGCCCCCCUUCAACCCUCCUCUUUACCAGGGGGUCACCCAGCCCUCACCCGUGCCCCACAGAAUGCCCUGCCCCCCUAUGUACUGGCAGCAGGGGCCUCCACCCAGAAACCCCAGCUAUCCAGUGGAAUAUCCUUCCCCUCCUCCCCCAUACUCGGGCCCCCCUCCCUCAUCUCAAGGGUACCACCAAGGUCAAGGUCUGGUCCACUCCCUGUACCCCUCAUCUGGACCCCAGUACCCCCCAUUCUCUUUGGGAUACCAGUCCUCACCGACCCCCGAGGAGCUCCAGGUCAACCAGAGGGCCAUGGAGCUUCUUCAGCCUGCUAACGGGGACUCCAUGCCAGGUCACGGACACAUCAGAGUCCUGGGUCACAUGGAGGGUCCUGCUGCUGCUAAUGUGGCUAAUGCUAAUAAUAACCGAGCCAUUUUGGUUCCUCCUAAUUAUGGUUAUGAAAGCAAAUAUUCUCCAUCAGUUCUGAAGGAGGUGCUGCUGGUGGAUCCCCCGCUCAAUAAUACUCCCAUACUCACUCUGGUUUCACACUCUGACAUUAAGGAUGUCUCUGUCUCCAAGGCAACAAUGAAGGCCGGCAGCAUCCCCGGCUCUCCGUCCAACUUCCGGGGCCCCCGGAAACAGCAGCACCCCCCUUCCAAAACCUACGUCCCGCCGGGUGCUCCGGAUCCCAGCCAGCUGGGUUACCCGGCAACCGCGGCCAUGGCGGAGCAGCUGUCGGUGGCGUGCAGCACGGAGGACGAUUGGGAGGCGGAGGGGUUCACUAUGAGCUACUCUGGGAGGAAGCCAUACCGAGGACGGGGGGGAAGAGGGAGGGGCGGCUACGAUGCAGGGAGGGGGGCACAGAGGAGACGUCAUGGAGAGGUUGGGGCGGGGCUUAACUAUGUUCAGUUUAACUCGUCCCAUAGGGGACGGGGCCGUGAGAGGGGCUAUUAG